UGGUUUUAGCUGCUCUCUGCCCUGCUGGGUGGGACAAUGGAAGGUGUCUGAGCAUGCAUGAGGCUGAGCAACCUCUACAAGAGGCACUGGAGCCACUCCACAGCCCCACUUGGUGCACAGCCCUGUAGAAUCCCUGUGUUGUACUGGGUUCCCCUCACAGACACCCUUUGCAUCUGCUGCUCCCCUCCUGUGGCUCCACACCUGGGUGGGCUCUGGCAUUUGAGCUUCCCAAGAAGGAAUUUAGAUCUGCAUCCUGCAGCCCAGGACCCCUCCUGGGACAGCUGCUCCAGCACCAGGAGGAAAGGCCAGCAGCUCCCAGGGGGCUUGGCAGGGCUCGGACACGGGGACUCCGAGUGCAUCCGUCGGGCUUGGCUUCACUCCCAGCUCAGCAACUGCACAAGAACCUCUGCAAAACCAGAGCCCUGGGGAUUCAAAUCCUCACCUCCACCCCAGUGCAGAGACACAGCUGUGCCACCCACCCUGAGACCAGGGCAGAGCAAAGCUGCUCCUCACCCUCCCCAGCCAGCAGCAGGUAUCAGCCAGCUCUCGCCUGUGGGCUCUGAACAACCCUCUUCUGCUUGGAUUUACGUGUUUUUAAUUAUUUUAAUUAAACACAGAGAUGUUCCAAGGUGGAGACCAGACAGAUACUGCUGCUGCUGUUGGGAAGCAGAACCCUGUUUGUUAUGACCACUCUCCUGCACUGUCACUGUCCCCAAAGCAACAGGACACAACACCAGGAAGGAGCCAACAGCACAAGUGUCAUUUUUCUGUGCCCUAAUGCUCCUGGGCAGCCAUCAGGCUUCACUAUUGCCAGUCCAA